GACGAACGCUGGCGGCGUGCUUAACACAUGCAAGUCGAACGGAAAGGCCCUGCUUUUGUGGGGUGCUCGAGUGGCGAACGGGUGAGUAACACGUGAGUAACCUGCCCUUGACUUUGGGAUAACUUCAGGAAACUGGGGCUAAUACCGGAUAGGAGCUCCUGCUGCAUGGUGGGGGUUGGAAAGUUUCGGCGGUUGGGGAUGGACUCGCGGCUUAUCAGCUUGUUGGUGGGGUAGUGGCUUACCAAGGCUUUGACGGGUAGCCGGCCUGAGAGGGUGACCGGCCACAUUGGGACUGAGAUACGGCCCAGACUCCUACGGGAGGCAGCAGUAGGGAAUAUUGGACAAUGGUUGCAAGACUGAUCCAGCCAUGCCGCGUGCAGGAAGAAGGCCUUCUGGGUCGUAAACUGCUUUUUCCUGUGGAUAAAAUACCCGUGCGCGGGGAAUUGAAGGUAACAGGGGAAUAAGCCACGGCUAACUACGUG
rnacentral:rRNA from 1 species